UACGUAGGGGGCAAGCGUUGUCCGGAUUUAUUGGGCGUAAAGAGCGUGUAGGCGGCCAGGUAGGUCCGUUGUGAAAACUCGAGGCUCAACCUCGAGACGUCGGCGGAAACCCUCUGGCUAGAGUCCGGAAGAGGAGAGUGGAAUUCCUGGUGUAGCGGUGAAAUGCGCAGAUAGUCAGGAAGAACACCCGUGGCGAAGGCGGCUCUCUGGGACGGUACUGACGCUGAGACGCGAAAGCAUGGGGAGCGAACAGG
rnacentral:rRNA from 1 species